GAUGAACGCUGGCGGCGUGCCUAAUACAUGCAAGUCGAGCGAACGGACGAGAAGCUUGCUUCUCUGAUGUUAGCGGCGGACGGGUGAGUAACACGUGGAUAACCUACCUAUAAGACUGGGAUAACUUCGGGAAACCGUAGCUAAUACCGGAUAAUAUUUUGAACCGCAUGGUUCAAAAGUGAAAGACGGUCUUGCUGUCACUUAUAGAUGGAUCCGCGCUGCAUUAGCUAGUUGGUAAGGUAACGGCUUACCAAGGCAACGAUGCAUAGCCGACCUGAGAGGGUGAUCGGCCACACUGGAACUGAGACACGGUCCAGACUCCUACGGGAGGCAGUAGUAGGGAAUCUUCCGCAAUGGGCGAAAGCCUGACGGAGCAACGCCGCGUGAGUGAUGAAGGUCUUCGGAUCGUAAAACUCUGUUAUUAGGGAAGAACAUAUGUGUAAGUAACUGUGCACAUCUUGACGGUACCUAAUCAGAAAGCCACGGCUAACUACGUG
rnacentral:rRNA from 1 species